rnacentral:rRNA from 1 species
GAUGAACGCUGGCGGCGUGCCUAAUACAUGCCAGUCGAGCGAACGGACGAGAAGCUUGCUUCUCUGAUGUUAGCGGCGGACGGGUGAGUAACACGUGGAUAACCUACCUAUAAGACUGGGAUAACUUCGGGAAACCGUAGCUAAUACCGGAUAAUAUUUUGAACCGCAUGGUUCAAAAGUGAAAGACGGUCUUGCCGUCACUUAUAGAUGGAUCCGCGCUGCAUUAGCUAGUUGGUAAGGUAACGGCUUACCAAGGCAACGAUGCAUAGCCGACCUGAGAGGGUGAUCGGCCACACUGGAACUGAGACACGGUCCAGACUCCUACGGGAGGCAGCAGUAGGGAAUCUUCCGCAAUGGGCGAAAGCCUGACGGAGCAACGCCGCGUGAGUGAUGAAGGUCUUCGGAUCGUAAAACUCUGUUAUUAGGGAAGAACAUAUGUGUAAGUAACUGUGCACAUCUUGACGGUUCCUAAUCAGAAAGCCACGGCUAACUACGUG